GACGGAGGGUGCAAGCGUUGUUCGGAAUUACUGGGCGUAAAGCGCGGCAGGUGGCCUUUUAAGUCCUUUGUGAAACUCCGGAGCUCAACUCCGGACGUGCAUAGGAUACUGGAUGGCUUGAGUUCGGGAGAGGGAUGCGGAAUUCCAGGUGUGGCGGUGAAAUGCGUAGAUAUCUGGAGGAACACCGGUGGCGAAGGCGGCAUCCUGGACCGAUACUGACGCUGAGGAGCGAAAGCCAGGGGAGCAAAGCGGG
rnacentral:rRNA from 1 species